AUCAGAAUGUCGCGGUGAAUACGUUCCCGGGCCUUGUACACACCGCCCGUCACACCAUGAGAGUUGGCAAUACCCAAAGUUCGUGAGCUAACCCGUAAGGGAGGCAGCGACCUAAGGUAGGGUCAGCAAUUGGGGUGAAGUCGUAACAAGGUAGCCGUAGGAGAACCUGCGGCUGGAUCACCUCCUUUCUAUGGAGA
rnacentral:rRNA from 1 species